AAAGUUAAUUUUAACUUUGAUAUUUAUUUAAAAUUUAUUGUAUAUAUAAAUAUUUGUGGAAAUAAAAAUUGGAAUUUAAAAAAUUUUAAAGUUUUUGAUUAUAUAAUAUAAAAUAUUAAAAAUUAAAGAAAUUUAGAUUUAGUAAUAUUUAAAUUAUUAACAAAUAUUUGUGCCAGCAGUUGCGGUUAUACUAUAAAUAAAUUAAAUAUAAAUUAUAAUUUAAUUAAUAAUUAUUAAUUUAAAUUAAAAUUAAAUAUUAUAUAUUUGGGUAAAAUUUUUUUAUAAAUUAAAUUUUAUAGAAUUAAUUAUAUGAUUAUUAAUAAAGAAUUUUAAUUAAACUAGGAUUAGAUACCCUAUUAUAAAUUUAAAAUAUAAUAAAAUAUAAGGUAGUAAAAAAUAUAUUUUUUAAACUUAAAAAAUAUGGCAGUAUUUUAUUCUAAUUAGAGGAACCUGUUUAUUAAUUGAUAUUCCACAAUUAAUUUUACUUAAUUUAAUUUAAUUUGUAUAUCGUUGUUAUAAAAAUAUUUUUAAGAAAUAAAGAUUUUAAAAUUUAAAUUAAAAUUUAUAUCAAAUCAUGAUGCAGUUUAUAAUUAAGAAUUUUAUGGGUUAUAAUAAAUUUAUUUUUGGAUAAAUUUUUAAGAAUUUUAAAUUUUGAAAUUAGAUUUAAUAGUAAUUUAAAAUUAUUUAAUUUAAAUGAUUUAAGUUUUAAAAUAUGUACAUAUUGCCCGUCAUUUUCAUUUAAAAAUUGAAACAAGUCGUAACAUAGUAGAAGUACUGGAAAGUGUUUCUAGAAA
rnacentral:ncRNA from 1 species